UACGUAGGGCGCAAGCGUUAUCCGGAAUUAUUGGGCGUAAAGAGCUCGUAGGCGGUUUGUCGCGUCUGCCGUGAAAGUCCGGGGCUCAACUCCGGAUCUGCGGUGGGUACGGGCAGACUAGAGUGAUGUAGGGGAGACUGGAAUCCCUGGUGUAGCGGUGAAAUGCGCAGAUAUCAGGAGGAACACCAGUGGCGAAGGCGACGUGCUGGGUUGCACCUGACGCUGAGAUGCGAAAGUGUGGGGAGCAAACGGG
rnacentral:rRNA from 1 species